UACAGAGGGUGCAAGCGUUAAUCGGAAUUACUGGGCGUAAAGCGUGCGUAGACGGUUAUGUAAGUCAGAUGUGAAAGCCCCGGGCUUAACCUGGGAAUGGCAUUUGAGACUGCAUAGCUAGGGUGCGGAAGAGGGAAGCGGAAUUCCCAGUGUAGUGGUGAAAUACGUAGAGAUUGGGAAGAACACCAGUGGCGAAGGCGGCUAUCUGGACGGUUUCUGACGCUAAGACGCGAAAGCGUGGGGAGCAAACAGG
rnacentral:rRNA from 1 species